GCUGGUGAACUGCGGCUGAUGCCGCGGGGUUGUGCCGGCGGUAAGUGGCCUGGAGCUCCCACGAGGGGUGCCGCUGGGCGUUGGAUGUAGCCCGCGGCACCGUCGCCGCCUCGCAGACCGUCUCUCAAGGGCGGGUUGUGCAUCUCGUGGAGCCGUCGGGACAGCCCCGUCCCCCAGUGAGGCCCAGAAAGGGGACGUGUCCAAGGCCACACAGCUUCUGAGCGAUGGAUGGCGGAGGAGACUCCAGACCGCUAGAUUCUGUCAAAAGUUGAAGAAUCCAUAUACCAUAAAGAAACAGCUUCUGCAUCAAUUUGUACGAAGACUACUUUUCCCAUUGCUUGUAGCCUUAUCUAACACAGGGUUUAGAACAAAGAGUAUAAUAUGAAUGAUUCAUUG